GCCAUCAGGGGGCAGGGGGUGCGCGCAGGGGAGCAGCGGCACUGUCAGGAGUUGGGGCUGGGGUGGGGCGUUCAGGAGUCUGGGGGUCUGAGCCUGGCCGUGCAGGAGUCAGGGCUGAGCCCAGGGUUGCAGGAGUCCGGGGUGAUUCUGGGCCUGCGGGAACAGUAUCAGGCGGCUGGAGAGGCCAGGCCAGGGGUGCGGGAGCAGCGGGCGGCUGGAGAAGCCAGGCCAGGGGUGCGGGAGCAGUGGGUGGCCAGAGAGGUGAAGCCAGGAGUGUGGGAACAGUGGGUGGCAGUGGGGACAAGACCAGUAGUGCAGGAGCAGUCGGUGACCAGAGAGGCCAGGCCAGGGGUGCGGGAGCAGCGGGCAGCUGGAGAGGCCAGGCCAGGGGUGCGGGAGCAGCGGGCAGCUGGAGAGGCCAGGCCAGGGGUGCGGGAGCAGCGGGCGGCUGGAGAGGCCAGGCCAGGGGUGCGGGAGCAGCGGGCGGCUGGAGAGGCCAGGCCAGGGCUGUGGGAGCAGUCAGUGACCAGAGAAUCUAGGCCGGGGGAGCGGGAUCAGCGGGUAGCCGUGGGAAAGAGGCCGGGGGUGCGGGAGCAGCGGGUGGCAGUGGGAGUGAGACAGGGGGUGCGGGAGAAGCGGGUGGCACUGAGAGAGAGGCCGGUGGUAGGAGGGGUGAGGCCAGGGCUGCGGGUGGCCAGAGGGACGAGGCCGGGAGCACGAGCACGGGUGGCAGCGAGGGUGAAGCCAGGAGUGCGGGUUCGGGUGCCAGGGGGGGUGAGUCUGGGGUUACAGGAGGAGCAUCUGGUAGAAGAGGGGAGCCUGGAAGUAGAGCAGCAACCUCAGGAGGAGGGAACAGUGAGCUCAGGGGUGCAGGAGCAGGGUCUGGCCCUGGGAGCCCCCCAGGAGCAGGGUCUGGCCCUGGGAGCCCCCCAGGAGCAGGGGGUGGCCCUGGGAGCCCCCCAGGAGUGGGGAGAGGGCCCGAGGGUGCAGCACCAGCCUGAAGGGGAAGGGGAGGCGAGCCCAGGAGUGCAGGGGGGCCAGCAGGGAGAGCAGCACCAGCAGGAGAAAGGAGGGUUUGUCAGAGGCCUGCAGGAGAAAGGGGGCCUGAGGCCGGGCGUGCAGGAGGAGGCGCUCAGGCUGGGUGUGCAGGAGGAGACGCUCAGGCCUGGGGUGCAAGAGCAGUCUCGGGAGCCAGAGUGGCUGAGCCCAGGUGUGCAGGAAGCCGGGGGGACCCUGGGUGUGCAGCAGCUGCAGCGCAGGGAGGGGAGGCGGCGAGCAGCACAGGUGUAG
rnacentral:lncRNA from 1 species